AUGGACUCCGAGGACGACAUGCACGACGCCAACGACUCAGCGGACGACGACUUCUACAGCGGCGGGGAGGCCGGGCUCGCCGCCAGCGAUGACGGCGACGCCGACUACGACUUCGCCGACCACGACUCCGACGACUCCCCCGAGCUCCUCUCUCACCGGCAGCAGCAAAAUUACUGCAUAUUGAGUGAAGCUGGUAUAAAGCAGCGGCAAGAGGAUGACAUAAAUAGGGUUUCAACCGUUCUCUCAAUUUCAAAGUCGGAAGCAUGUGCUCUUCUUCGCAGCUAUAACUGGAGUGUUAGUAAGGUGCAUGAUGAAUGGUUCGUUGAUGAAGAACGUGUUCGCAAGGUUGUUGGUUUUCCGGAGAAGCGCAUUGAAAUGCCAAAUGACAGAGAACUGGCAUGUGGAAUUUGUUUCGAAAAUUGCCCCCAUGCAUCAAUGAGUGCUGCCGCAUGUGGACAUCCUUUCUGUAGUGUAUGCUGGAGAGGUUACAUUAGCACUGCUAUAAAUGAUGGUCCAGGAUGUCUGAUGUUGAGAUGUCCUGAUCCGUCCUGUGCUGCCGCAGUUGGACAAGAUAUGAUUAAUUCGCUGGCUAAUGAAGAGGAUAAGGAAAAGUAUGGGCGAUAUCUUCGCAGAUCUUACAUUGAGGAUAAUCGAAAGACAAAGUGGUGUCCUGCUCCUGGAUGUGAAUAUGCAGUAGAAUUUGUUGUGGGCAGUGGCAGCUAUGAUGUUAAUUGCAAUUGUUCAUAUGGGUUCUGUUGGAAUUGCACUGAGGAAGCUCAUCGUCCAGUAGACUGUGCCACUGUUUCAAAGUGGAUCCUCAAGAACAGCGCAGAGUCUGAGAAUAUGAAUUGGAUACUGGCUAACUCAAAGCCUUGCCCUAAGUGCAAGCGGCCUAUUGAGAAAAACCAGGGAUGCAUGCAUAUCACAUGCACACCUCCAUGUAAAUUUGAGUUUUGCUGGCUGUGUCUUGGUUCAUGGUCGGAGCAUGGAGAGAGGACUGGUGGAUUUUAUGCUUGUAACCGUUAUGAGGCAGCAAGACAAGAAGGAGCGUAUGAUGAAUCUGAAAGGAGAAGGGAAAUGGCGAAGAACUCCCUUGAGAGAUAUACACAUUAUUAUGAACGAUGGGCAGCUAAUCAGUCAUCAAGGCAAAAGGCAUUAGGAGACCUUCAGAGUCUGCAGAAUGACAAGCUUGAAAAGUUAAGUGAUAUACAAAGUCAACCUGAGUCACAGCUCAAGUUCAUCAUAGAGGCAUGGCUACAGAUUGUUGAGUGUAGGAGGGUAUUGAAGUGGACAUAUGCUUAUGGUUAUUACCUCCCAGAGCACGAACAUGCCAAAAGACAGUUCUUUGAAUAUCUGCAAGGUGAGGCUGAAUCAGGUUUGGAGCGGCUGCAUCAGUGUGCAGAGAAAGAACUUCAAAUAUACCUUGAAGCCGAGUCCCCCUCAAAAGAUUUCAAUGACUUCCGUACAAAGUUGGCUGGAUUAACUAGCGUGACUCGCAAUUAUUUUGAGAAUCUCGUCCGGGCACUGGAGACUGGAUUAAAUGACGUUGGACCUUCCACUAGCCAAAGCACGGGCAUCAAGAACACUACUUCUAAGAGCCUUGGUGGCAAGAGCAAGACUGGCAAGAACAGGGCAUCCGCUGCUGGCUCCAAAUCAGGCAGCUCCAGCCGUGGUGUGGACGAUAGCAACAUUUGGACGUGUGAUCAGUGUACAUAUGUAAACCCCAGAUCGGCCAAGGCCUGCCAGGCUUGUGACCACCAACACCGAUAG
rnacentral:rRNA from 1 species